AGAGUUUGAUCCUGGCUCAGGACGAACGCUGGCGGCGCGCCUAACACAUGCAAGUCGAACGAGCGAGAGAGAGCUUGCUUUCUCGAGCGAGUGGCGAACGGGUGAGUAACGCGUGAGGAACCUGCCUCAAAGAGGGGGACAACAGUUGGAAACGACUGCUAAUACCGCAUAAGCCCACGGCUCGGCAUCGAGCAGAGGGAAAAGGAGCAAUCCGCUUUGAGAUGGCCUCGCGUCCGAUUAGCUAGUUGGUGAGGUAACGGCCCACCAAGGCGACGAUCGGUAGCCGGACUGAGAGGUUGAACGGCCACAUUGGGACUGAGACACGGCCCAGACUCCUACGGGAGGCAGCAGUGGGGAAUAUUGCACAAUGGGGGAAACCCUGAUGCAGCGACGCCGCGUGGAGGAAGAAGGUCUUCGGAUUGUAAACUCCUGUUGUUGAGGAAGAUAAUGACGGUACUCAACAAGGAAGUGACGGCUAACUACGUGCCAGCAGCCGCGGUAAAACGUAGGUCACAAGCGUUGUCCGGAAUUACUGGGUGUAAAGGGAGCGCAGGCGGGAGAACAAGUUGGAAGUGAAAUCCAUGGGCUCAACCCAUGAACUGCUUUCAAAACUGUUUUUCUUGAGUAGUGCAGAGGUAGGCGGAAUUCCCGGUGUAGCGGUGGAAUGCGUAGAUAUCGGGAGGAACACCAGUGGCGAAGGCGGCCUACUGGGCACCAACUGACGCUGAGGCUCGAAAGUGUGGGUAGCAAACAGGAUUAGAUACCCUGGUAGUCCACACCGUAAACGAUGAUUACUAGGUGUUGGAGGAUUGACCCCUUCAGUGCCGCAGUUAACACAAUAAGUAAUCCACCUGGGGAGUACGACCGCAAGGUUGAAACUCAAAGGAAUUGACGGGGGCCCGCACAAGCAGUGGAGUAUGUGGUUUAAUUCGACGCAACGCGAAGAACCUUACCAAGUCUUGACAUCCCUUGACGAACAUAGAAAUAUGUUUUCUCUUCGGAGCAAGGAGACAGGUGGUGCAUGGUUGUCGUCAGCUCGUGUCGUGAGAUGUUGGGUUAAGUC
rnacentral:rRNA from 1 species